UACGUAGGCAGCAAGCGUUGUUCGGAGUUACUGGGCGUAAAGGGUGUGUAGGCGGUCUUCUAAGUCUGGUGUGAAAUCUCCCGGCUCAACUGGGAGGGUGCGCCGAAAACUGGAAGGCUAGAGUGCGGGAUGGGAGAGUGGAAUUCCUGGUGUAGCGGUGAAAUGCGUAGAUAUCAGGAGGAACACCUGUGGUGUAGACGGCUCUCUGGACCGCAACUGACGCUGAGACACGAAAGCGUGGGGAGCGAACAGG
rnacentral:rRNA from 1 species